UACGGAGGGAGCUAGCGUUGUUCGGAAUUACUGGGCGUAAAGCGCGCGUAGGCGGCUUUGUAAGUUAGAGGUGAAAGCCCGGAGCUCAACUCCGGAACUGCCUUUAAAACUGCAUCGCUUGAAUCCAGGAGAGGUGAGUGGAAUUCCGAGUGUAGAGGUGAAAUUCGUAGAUAUUCGGAAGAACACCAGUGGCGAAGGCGGAUCACUGGACUGGUAUUGACGCUGAGGUGCGAAAGCGUGGGGAGCAAACAGG
rnacentral:rRNA from 1 species